UACGUAGGUGGCAAGCGUUGUCCGGAUUUAUUGGGCGUAAAGAGCGCGCAGGCGGUCGUUCAAGUCGAGUGUGAAAGCCCCCGGCUCAACUGGGGAGGGUCACUCGAUACUGAUCGACUCGAAGGCAGGAGAGGGAAGUGGAAUUCCCGGUGUAGUGGUGAAAUGCGUAGAUAUCGGGAGGAACACCAGUGGCGAAGGCGACUUCCUGGCCUGUUCUUGACGCUGAGGCGCGAAAGCUAGGGGAGCAAACGGG
rnacentral:rRNA from 1 species